AGUCGACGAUGAAUCUUCUAGCUUGCUAGAAGUGGAUUAGUGGCGCACGGGUGAGUAAUGCAUAGGUUAUGUGCCCUUUAGUCUGGGAUAGCCACUGGAAACGGUGAUUAAUACUGGAUACUCCCUACGGGGGAAAGUUUUUCGCUAAAGGAUCAGCCUAUGUCCUAUCAGCUUGUUGGUGAGGUAAUGGCUCACCAAGGCUAUGACGGGUAUCCGGCCUGAGAGGGUGAUCGGACACACUGGAACUGAGACACGGUCCAGACUCCUACGGGAGGCAGCAGUAGGGAAUAUUGCUCAAUGGGGGAAACCCUGAAGCAGCAACGCCGCGUGGAGGAUGAAGGUUUUAGGAUUGUAAACUCCUUUUGUUAGAGAAGAUUAUGACGGUAUCUAACGGAUAAGCACCGGCUAACUCCGUGCCAGCAGCCGCGGUAAUACGGAGGGUGCAAGCGUUACUCGGAAUCACUGGGCGUAAAGAGUGCGUAGGCGGGGUAAUAAGUCAGAUGUGAAAUCCUGUAGCUUAACUACAGAACUGCAUUUGAAACUGUUACUCUGGAGUGUGGGAGAGGUAGGUGGAAUUCUUGGUGUAGGGGUAAAAUCCGUAGAGAUCAAGAGGAAUACUCAUAGCGAAGGCGACCUGCUGGAACAUUACUGACGCUGAUGCACGAAAGCGUGGGGAGCAAACAGGAUUAGAUACCCUGGUAGUCCACGCCCUAAACGAUGGAUGCUAGUUGUUGCCUUGCUUGUCAGGGCAGUAAUGCAGCUAACGCAUUAAGCAUCCCGCCUGGGGAGUACGGUCGCAAGAUUAAAACUCAAAGGAAUAGACGGGGACCCGCACAAGCGGUGGAGCAUGUGGUUUAAUUCGAAGAUACGCGAAGAACCUUACCUAGGCUUGACAUUGAUA
rnacentral:rRNA from 1 species